rnacentral:rRNA from 1 species
GAAGAGUUUGAUCAUGGCUCAGAUUGAACGCUGGCGGCAGGCCUAACACAUGCAAGUCGAACGGUAACAGGAAGCAGCUUGCUGCUUCGCUGACGAGUGGCGGACGGGUGAGUAAUGUCUGGGAAACUGCCUGAUGGAGGGGGAUAACUACUGGAAACGGUGGCUAAUACCGCAUAACGUCGCAAGACCAAAGAGGGGGACCUUCGGGCCUCUUGCCAUCAGAUGUGCCCAGAUGGGAUUAGCUAGUUGGUGAGGUAACGGCUCACCAAGGCGACGAUCCCUAGCUGGUCUGAGAGGAUGACCAGCCACACUGGAACUGAGACACGGUCCAGACUCCUACGGGAGGCAGCAGUGGGGAAUAUUGCACAAUGGGCGCAAGCCUGAUGCAGCCAUGCCGCGUGUAUGAAGAAGGCCUUCGGGUUGUAAAGUACUUUCAGCGGGGAGGAAGGUGUUGUGGUUAAUAACCGCAGCAAUUGACGUUACCCGCAGAAGAAGCACCGGCUAACUCCGUGCCAGCAGCCGCGGUAAUACGGAGGGUGCAAGCGUUAAUCGGAAUUACUGGGCGUAAAGCGCACGCAGGCGGUCUGUCAAGUCGGAUGUGAAAUCCCCGGGCUCAACCUGGGAACUGCAUUCGAAACUGGCAGGCUUGAGUCUUGUAGAGGGGGGUAGAAUUCCAGGUGUAGCGGUGAAAUGCGUAGAGAUCUGGAGGAAUACCGGUGGCGAAGGCGGCCCCCUGGACAAAGACUGACGCUCAGGUGCGAAAGCGUGGGGAGCAAACAGGAUUAGAUACCCUGGUAGUCCACGCCGUAAACGAUGUCUACUUGGAGGUUGUGCCCUUGAGGCGUGGCUUCCGGAGCUAACGCGUUAAGUAGACCGCCUGGGGAGUACGGCCGCAAGGUUAAAACUCAAAUGAAUUGACGGGGGCCCGCACAAGCGGUGGAGCAUGUGGUUUAAUUCGAUGCAACGCGAAGAACCUUACCUGGUCUUGACAUCCACAGAACUUUCCAGAGAUGGAUUGGUGCCUUCGGGAACUGUGAGACAGGUGCUGCAUGGCUGUCGUCAGCUCGUGUUGUGAAAUGUUGGGUUAAGUCCCGCAACGAGCGCAACCCUUAUCCUUUGUUGCCAGCGGUUAGGCCGGGAACUCAAAGGAGACUGCCAGUGAUAAACUGGAGGAAGGUGGGGAUGACGUCAAGUCAUCAUGGCCCUUACGACCAGGGCUACACACGUGCUACAAUGGCGCAUACAAAGAGAAGCGACCUCGCGAGAGCAAGCGGACCUCAUAAAGUGCGUCGUAGUCCGGAUUGGAGUCUGCAACUCGACUCCAUGAAGUCGGAAUCGCUAGUAAUCGUGGAUCAGAAUGCCACGGUGAAUACGUUCCCGGGCCUUGUACACACCGCCCGUCACACCAUGGGAGUGGGUUGCAAAAGAAGUAGGUAGCUUAACCUUCGGGAGGGCGCUUACCACUUUGUGAUUCAUGACUGGGGUGAAGUCGUAACAAGGUAACCGUAGGGGAACCUGCGGUUGGAUCACCUCCUUACCUUAAAGAAGC